rnacentral:rRNA from 1 species
GACGAACGCUGGCGGCGUGCCUAACACAUGCAAGUCGAACGGGGUACCCUUGACAGAGGCUUCGGCCAAUGGAGAGGAAUACCUAGUGGCGGACGGGUGAGUAACGCGUGAGCAAUCUGCCUUCAGGAGGGGGAUAACAGCUGGAAACAGCUGCUGAUACCGCAUAAUGUAUCGGGAUGGCAUCAUUCUGAUACCAAAGGAGCAAUCCGCCUUUAGAUGAGCUCGCGUCCAAUUAGCUAGUUGGUGAGGUAACGGCCCACCAAGGCGACGAUUGGUAGCCGGACUGAGAGGUUGAACGGCCACAUUGGGACUGAGACACGGCCCAGACUCCUACGGGAGGCAGCAGUGGGGGAUAUUGCGCAAUGGGGAAACCCUGACGCAGCAACGCCGCGUGAAGGAAGAAGGUCUUCGGAUUGUAAACUUUUGUCUUGUGGGAAGAUAAUGACGGUACCACAGGAGGAAGCUCCGGCUAACUACGUGCCAGCAGCCGCCGU